rnacentral:rRNA from 1 species
CCUACGGGGGGCAGCAGUGGGGAAUAUUGGACAAUGGGGGCAACCCUGGUCCAGCCAUGCCGCGUGUGUGAAGAAGGCCCUCGGGUUGUAAAGCACUUUCAGUGAGGAAGAACGCCUGGUGGUUAAUACCCAUCAGGAAAGACAUCACUCACAGAAGAAGCACCGGCUAACUCCGUGCCAGCAGCCGCGGUAAUACGGAGGGUGCGAGCGUUAAUCGGAAUUACUGGGCGUAAAGCGCGCGUAGGUGGCUUGAUAAGCCGGUUGUGAAAGCCCCGGGCUCAACCUGGGAACGGCAUCCGGAACUGUCAAGCUAGAGUGCAGGAGAGGAAGGUAGAAUUCCCGGUGUAGCGGUGAAAUGCGUAGAGAUCGGGAGGAAUACCAGUGGCGAAGGCGGCCUUCUGGACUGACACUGACACUGAGGUGCGAAAGCGUGGGUAGCAAACAGGAUUAGAUACCCGAGUAGUC